rfam:Salmonella enterica subsp. enterica serovar Macclesfield str. S-1643 chromosome, complete genome.
UGCAUUUAUUUCAACAAAAACUCAGCGGCCACCGCGCAGGUGGCCUUUUUU